CAGUAGCCGCGGUAAUACGUAGGUGGCAAGCGUUAAUCGGAAUUACUGGGCGUAAAGCGUGCGUAGGCGGUUCGUUAAGUCUGUUGUGAAAGCCCCGGGCUCAACCUGGGAAUGGCAAUGGAUACUGGCGAGCUAGAGUGUGUCAGAGGAUGGUGGAAUUCCCGGUGUAGCGGUGAAAUUCGUAGAUAUUCGGAAGAACACCAGAGGCGAAGGCGGCUUACUGGCUCAUUCUAGACGCUGAGGUGCGAAAGCGUGGGGAGCAAACAGGAUUAGAUACCCCAGUAGUCCCUGUCUCUUAUAC
rnacentral:rRNA from 1 species